AACGAACGCUGGCGGCAGGCUUAACACAUGCAAGUCGAACGAGAUCUUCGGAUCUAGUGGCAGACGGGUGAGGAACACGUGGGAACAUCCCUUUCAGUUCGGAAUAACGUUGGGAAACUAACGCUAAUACCGGAUACGUCCUUCGGGAGAAAGAUUUAUCGCUGAAAGAUUGGCCCGCGUCUGACUAGCUAGUUGGUGGGGUAAAGGCCUACCAAGGCGACGAUCCAUAGCUGGUCUGAGUGGAUGAUCAGCCACAUUGGGACUGAGACACGGCCCAAACUCCUACGGGAGGCAGCAGUGGGGAAUAUUGGACAAUGGGGGCAACCCUGAUCCAGCCAUGCCGCGUGAGUGAUGACGGCCUUCGGGUUGUAAAGCUCUUUUGUCCGGGAAGAUAAUGACUGUACCGGAAGAAUAAGCCCCGGCAAACUUCGUGCCAGCCGCCGCGGUAA
rnacentral:rRNA from 1 species